rnacentral:rRNA from 2 species
UACGUAGGGGCCGAGCGUUGUCCGGAAUUACUGGGCGUAAAGCGCGCGCAGGCGGCUUUUCAAGCCUGACGUGAAAGCCCCCGGCUCAACCGGGGAGGGUCGUCGGGGACUGGGAAGCUUGAGGGCGGUAGGGGCCGGUGGAAUUCCCGGUGUAGUGGUGAAAUGCGUAGAGAUCGGGAGGAACACCAGUAGCGAAGGCGGCCGGCUGGGCCGACCCUGACGCUGAGGCGCGAAGGCGUGGGGAGCGAACGGG